rnacentral:rRNA from 1 species
GACGAACGCUGGCGGCGUGCUUAACACAUGCAAGUCGAACGGAAAGGCCCUGCUUGCAGGGUGCUCGAGUGGCGAACGGGUGAGUAACACGUGGGUGAUCUGCCCCUUACUUUGGGAUAAGCCUGGGAAACUGGGUCUAAUACUGGAUAGGACCAUGCUGUAGGUGGUGUGGUGGAAAGAUUAGUUUCGGUAAGGGAUGAGCUCGCGGCCUAUCAGCUUGUUGGUGGGGUAAUGGCCUACCAAGGCGUCGACGGGUAGCCGGCCUGAGAGGGUGGACGGCCACAUUGGGACUGAGAUACGGCCCAGACUCCUACGGGAGGCAGCAGUGGGGAAUAUUGCACAAUAGGCGCAAGCCUGAUGCCGCGACGCCGCGUGGGGGAUGACGGCCUUCGGGUUGUAAACUCCUUUCAGCCAUGACGAAGCCCUUGUGGUGACGGUAGUGGUAGAAGAAGCACCGGCUAACUACGUG